UCGGAACCUAGCGGCGAAUGGGUGAGUAACACGUGCUUAAUCUACCCUUCAGAUUGGAAUACCCAAUGGAAACAUUGGCUAAUGCCGGAUACGCAUGGAAUCGCAUGAUUCCGUUGUGAAAGGGGCCUCAAAGCCCCACUGAAGGAUGAGGGUGCGGAACAUUAGUUAGUUGGUAGGGUAAUGGCCUACCAAGACUAUGAUGUUUAGCCGGGUCGAGAGACUGAACGGCCACAUUGGGACUGAGAUACGGCCCAAACUCCUACGGGAGGCAGCAGUAGGGAAUAUUCCACAAUGAGCGAAAGCUUGAUGGAGCGACACAGCGUGCACGAUGAAGGUCUUCGGAUUGUAAAGUGCUGUUAUAAGGGAAGAACACUCAGAGGAGGAAAUGCCUUUGAGCUGACGGUACCUUGUCAGAAAGCGAUGGCUAACUAUGUGCCAGCAGCCGCGGUAAUACAUAGGUCGCAAGCGUUAUCCGGAAUUAUUGGGCGUAAAGCGUUCGUAGGCUGUUUAUUAAGUCUGGAGUCAAAUCCCGGGGCUCAACCCCGGCUCGCUUUGGAUACUGAUAAACUAGAGUUGGAUAGAGGUAAGCGGAAUUCCAUGUGAAGCGGUGAAAUGCGUAGAUAUAUGGAAGAACACCAAAGGCGAAGGCAGCUUACUGGGUCUAUACUGACGCUGAGGGACGAAAGCGUGGGGAGCAAACAGGAUUAGAUACCCUGGUAGUCCACGCCGUAAACGAUGAUCAUUAGUCGGUGGAGAGUUCACUGACGCAGCUAACGCAUUAAAUGAUCCGCCUGAGUAGUAUGCUCGCAAGAGUGAAACUUAAAGGAAUUGACGGGGACCCGCACAAGCGGUGGAGCAUGUGGUUUAAUUUGAAGAUACACGGAGAACCUUACCCACUCUUGACAUCUUCCGCAA
rnacentral:rRNA from 1 species